rnacentral:rRNA from 1 species
ACUCAGUGAAAUUGAACUCGCUGUGAAGAUGCAGUGUACCCGCGGCAAGACGGAAAGACCCCGUGAACCUUUACUAUAGCUUGACACUGAACAUUGAGCCUUGAUGUGUAGGAUAGGUGGGAGGCUUAGAAGUGUGGACGCCAGUCUGCAUGGAGCCGACCUUGAAAUACCACCCUUUAAUGUUUGAUGUUCUAACGUUGACCCGUGAUCCGGGUUGCGGACAGUGUCUGGUGGGUAGUUUGACUGGGGCGGUCUCCUCCUAAAGAGUAACGGAGGAGCACGAAGGUUGGCUAAUCCUGGUCGGACAUCAGGAGGUUAGUGCAAUGGCAUAAGC